rnacentral:tRNA from 1 species
GGGGCUGUGGCUCAGUGGCAGAGCAUCUGCUUGGCAUGCAGAAGUUCCCUGGUUCACUUCCCAGCAUCUUCA